rnacentral:lncRNA from 1 species
UCCAUAUGGACCAAUAAGCCAGUAUAAACCAGUAUGGACCAGUAUAGAACAGUAUAGAUCAGUAUAACCAGUAUGGACCAGUAUAAACCAGUGUAGACCAGUAUAACCAGUAUGGACCAGUAUAGACCAGUAUAGACCAGUAUGGACCAGUAUAGACGAGUAUAGACCAGCACAGACCUGUAUAAACCAGUCUAUACCAGUAUAAACCAGUAUAGACCAGUAUGAACCAGUACGGACCAGUAUGGAGCAGUAUAGACCAGUAUGGACCAGUAUAGACCAGUAUGGACCAGUAUGAACCAUUAUAAACCAGUAUAGACCAGCACAGACCAGUAAAAACCAGUAUAGACCAGUAUAAACCAGUAUGGAUCAGUAUGGACCAGUAUGGACCAGUGCAGACCAGUAUAAACCAGUAUGGACCAGUAUAAACUAGUAUGAAGCAGUAUAAACCAAUAUGGACCAGUACAGACCAGUAUAAACCAGUAUGGACCAGUAGACCAGUAUAAACCAGUAUGGAGUAGUAUAGACCAGUAUAGACCAGUACAGACCAGUAUAAACCAGUAUGGACCAGUAGACCAGUAUAAACCAGUAUGGAGUAGUAUAGACCAGUAUAGACCAGUACAGACCAGUAUAAACCAGUAUGGACCAGUAGACCAGUAUAAACCAGUAUGGAGCAGCACAGACCAGUAUAAACCAGUAUACACCAGUAAAGACCAGUAUAGUCCAGUAUAGACCAGUAUGGACCAGUAUACACCUGUGUAUUCCAGUAUAGACCAGUAUAAGAAGUAUAAACCAGUAUAGAGCAGUGUGAACCAGUAUCAACCAAUAUGGAGCAGUAUAGACUAGUAUAGACCGUUAUAGACCAGUAAAGACCAGUAUAGACCAGUAUAAUCCAGUAUAGACCAAUAUAGACCCGUAUGGACCAGUAUGGACCAGUUUGGGUGAGCUGGGCUCUGGGCCAGGCACGGGCUGGCACUGGGGCUGAUGGUGCUGUGUGGGGCUCUGCUGUCGCUGGACGCGGCGCGCGCCGCGCUGGGCGUGUCGCAGGACUGUCACCUGCUGCUGGCGCUGGCCGCGGUGGCCGUGUCCUGCCAGGUGGCCCUGCAGGCCUUGGGGACAUCGCGGCGACACCUGAGCGCGGCGCGCGCCGCGUCCAGCGACACUGCGGGGACACGGGGACAGCGCGGGUGGCACCGGGGACACGGGACAGCGACGGCCCAGAGCUCCCAGUUCAGUCCCAGUGCUCCCAGUGCCAUCCCAGUGCCACCGGUCCUGUCCCAGUGCCACCCUCCCAAUGCUCCCCGUCCUGUCCCAGUGUCCCCAGUUCCCUCCCAGUGCCACCGCCCCAGAAUCCCGACACCAAUGUCACCACCCCUGCGUCACCAGUUCAAACCCAGUGUCCCCAGUCCUGUCCAAGUGCCACCGUCCCAGUGCUCCCAGUGCCAGCCCAGUGUCACCGCCCCAUUGUCCCCGUAUCAGUGUCACCAUCCCAGUGUCACCAGUUCCCUCCCAGCUGUCCCAGUGUCACCAGUGCCACCAUUGGGACCAGCCCAGUGUCCCCAGUUUCACCCCAGUGUCACCAGCCCAGUGCCACCAGCUCUGUCCCAUUGUCCCCAUACCAAUGUCACCAUCCCAGUGUCCCCAGUUCAAUCCCAGUGUCCCCCAUCCCGUCCCAGUGUCCCUCUCCCAGUGCUCCCACUUCCGUCCCAGCCUUCCCCAUUUCAUCCCAGUGCCACCAACCCAGCGCCACCAGUUCCCUCCCAGUGACACCAGUCCAGUGCCACCAGUGUCCCCCAUGGCACCAGUCCAGUGUCCCCACUCCUGUCCCAGUGUCACCAGUCCCUUUCUGAUGUCCCCAUCCCCGUGUCCCCAUCCCAGCCCAGUGCACCACUCCAGUGUCCCCAGUCCUGUCCCAGUGUCCCUGUCCCAGUGCUCCCAGCAGCGUCCCAGUGCCACCAGCCUCCCAUUGACAACACCCCAUUCUCCCCAUACCAAUGUCACCAUCCCAGUGUCCCCAGUGCCAUCCCAGUGCCACCUCCCCAUUGUCCCCAUACCAAUGUCACCAUCCCAGUGUCCCCAGUUCCCCCCCCCCCCCCCCCCCCCCCCCCCCCCCCCCCCCCCCCCCCCCCCCCCCCCCCCCCCCCCCCCCCCCCCCCC